AACGCUAAUACCGCAUAAGGCCACACUUCCACAUGGGAGAGGGGUCAAAGGAGCAAUCCGCUGAAAGAUGGGCUCGCGUCCGAUUAGAUAGUUGGGGGGGUAACGGCCCACCAAGUCGACGAUCGGUAGCCGGACUGAGAGGUUGAACGGCCACAUUGGGACUGAGACACGGCCCAGACUCCUACGGGAGGCAGCAGUGAGGGAUAUUGGUCAAUGGGGGAAACCCUGAACCAGCAACGCCGCGUGAGGGAAGACGGUUUUCGGAUUGUAAACCUCUGUCCUCUGUGAAGAUAAUGACGGUAGCAGAGGAGGAAGCUCCGGCUAACUACGUGCCAGCAGCCGCGGUAAUACGUAGGGAGCGAGCGUUGUCCGGAUUUACUGGGUGUAAAGGGUGCGUAGGCGGGUAAGCAUGUCAGAAGUGAAAUCCAUGGGCUUAACCCAUGAACUGCUUUUGAAACUGUUUAUCUUGAGUGAAGUAGAGGUAGGCGGAAUUCCCGGUGUAGCGGUGAAAUGCGUAGAGAUCGGGAGGAACACCAGUGGCGAAGGCGGCCUACUGGGCUUUAACUGACGCUGAAGCACGAAAGCGUGGGUAGCAAACAGGAUUAGAUACCCUGGUAGUCCAUGCCGUAAACCA
rnacentral:rRNA from 1 species